GAUCUGCCUCAGUCAUCCUUUUUAGCUACGAAAGGGGGAAAGAAAAAAGAUUCCUUUGACAAAUUUGUCUGCUAAAUGGUUUGUUCACCUCUCUCUCUUAAAACCUUGAUUGCUGAUCUAGGAAAAUUUAGGGAAUCAUCUUAAACUCAUUACAAAUCCAAAAUUAAAAAUUCUGUGCUUUAUCAGAAGCACUUUUUAACAUCCGUUUUUAUGUAAUAUUCACAGACAUACAGAAAGCACAGCUAAGGAGGAUACGGUCACUUUAAGACAGGGCAGGCCAGUUAGUUUCAGCAGUUGAUCACACGGCAUGAAUGUGAACGUCUUUGAGGCUUUUUGGAUGUUCUUUUUCGGUUCAACAAAAAUAUUAUCUGAGCCUCUACCAAAAUACCUGAAUUCAUGGGAUCUGUAAUCUGCCUGCUUUUCCUAUUUUGCUAGAUCUCAGCUGGAAUAGAAAAGCAAUUGCCAGAUUAAAGCCAGAUCCCCAGGAGCUCUCCCAGUGAAGUGGUCAAGUUGAUUGAGUUCCAGUUAACUGAACAAGCUUUCCAGUUCAGUAUGGCAGGAAUAGAAGCUUUGGUUGUCAUGCUGAUGUCAGAGGACAUAAGAGAUGACUCCUGCUGCACCAGGCAGCUUGAGGAACAGUGAUGGGUGACUGCACUGAGAAAAAGCUUGAUAUCUGCAGCAGAUACUUCAAAGCAACUCUUCCUUUGCUCGAAACACACUGGAGCAAAAGCUUCCAGAAGCAACAUCAAAACAUGAAGCCUGUGCACCAUAAUCAGCAUGUGGACAGAGUGUUGCCAACCCCUCCUGCCCUGGAGGCAUUAAUAUAAAACUGUGGCUUAGGCUGGCCAAAAAGUAGGGAAUCAAAGGAGUAUUCCAGUUCAUGUAGUGUACCGCACUGCUUUUAAAGUUUUACCACCACUGUUUUUUUAUAUCAAGAUCCUGAAACAGUUGCCAUAGGACGAUGGCCCUGCAGUUCUUGCGUCUGCAAAAGUAGCUCAGCUUCCUCCCAUGAUCAAGUCCACGGUUUGUAAAAAGGUCUAGUUUACACAGCUUGCUGACUCCUAUGGCCUCCCAUGGAAGUGAAAGCCUGGGCAACUCAGUUACUCAAUUCGCAGAAGAUGCAGAGAAAUUACACUCACAUCAAAUUACAUCUGCCAUGAUAUGUUUAGCUGGCUUUUCAGCACCUAACAUAUUGUGGUCAAGCACAGAGGUGUGGUUACUCUUUUUUUCAUACCUUAUCCACUGUGCCAUUAGGUCCAUCAGCACUGAACGCUGAUAAGGCCAAGAUCAGCAGUGAAUUUAACAGCAUUUGUGCAUCUAAAUCCAUAGAUGUGGCAGAAAAGAAAGACUUGAACAGUACUAUAUUUAAAAGUAUCUUAACAGCAUUAAAAAGCUGGAUUAACCACAGAAGAUAUGAGUAGGUAGAUAGCUAUACGCAUAAUUUUAAAGAUGCAGUAUCUUUCUGAAAUGAUGCUUCUUGUUUUUAGUACCACAUGAUUCUUCCAAUUUCAAAAGUUUCUCUGACUCCCCUUAUUCAGGCAUAGAGACCUUUGAGGCUUCAACACAAGGUGAAUAUUUCUGGCUCUGAGACUGGCCCACAAUUAUUUCUCUGCUCUUCUUUCAGGACAGUGGCAAGCAGCACCCUUCAGGAUGAGCUCUAUCAAAGGAAGCUUUGAUUUUAAUUUUUAAUGUAAAAACUAGUCCAGAUGAAACUAUAGGUAGGUGGUAAUCCUCACAGUUUCUUCAGGAAUUGUCAGAGGGAUUCUAAAGCCUUAAACAGGUAUAUCUAAUGAGCUUUCACAACAGGUGGUAAAACUCACAUACACAGUUUACCUGAUACCAGCUGUAAAUGAGGGUCCCUCAGGAGAACCAGCUACAGAAUGGCUUACUUCUUUUAAUAAUACCAACCUCUGUUUCUAUGGAAACAGCACAUCAUGUUUGUUGCUUGCAAGACAUGUGUUUAGCCCCUUUUAAAAUAAACUGUGUUCCCUUUGCAUUGCCUUUAAAGCUGAAAGAAGCACUCUACUUUCAAACACACCAAAUUACUAAACCUUCUCCUUCCCCUCUAAAUAUCACAAAUUGCCAUUGGACAUAUAGUCUGUAGUUGCUAAUUAUUGUGAGAAGUAAUAGCAUUUUUGUAGGUUACCAUUUCUAAGAACAAUAGUUAUCUUGCUGUUUCAUGGCAACAAAUCAGAAAUCCUGGAACCGUGUCUAAAAAGGAACAUUAUCAAGUUAAAAAUGAUAACCACUUGGCUUCAUGAAGCAUGUACUCCCCUGCAUGCUUUUCCAUAUGUCCAAAUUUGGUGAUUCUCACCACCACACUUUGAAAGUGCUUGCUCACCAUAAUGCUAGAUAUUUAAAGAUGCUGAAAGACAAUCUGCCAAAACCUGAUAUGUUGCAUAUGCGUACAUGUACCUACCUGUGGUCACUGCGGAAACUAAUGGGCUUUUCCCGUUUUUUUCCUCCUAAAUUGGUGAUAUGAAACAGCCCUGAGUAAUUAUCCUGCAAGUGAAAUAAGAUGUUAAAACCAUAGCUUGUCUAUGCCAUGGGUGGUUGUUGGGAUCACACUGAAACAAUUUUAAAAUCUGAUUAGUUUACUAUGGAAGCUGUUUUUACAGCUUCCCAUAAUCUUGAACAGUGAAAACAGGCCAGUCUUGUUCAACCUGUGAUGGAAUGAAGAUUUACAGAGCUUGGACAGUCUAAAGGAUGGCAUUAUAGGGUUGUCAGAGUAACAGGCCUUGGGAAUCUGCAGUUUACAUUUAAAGGGAGAAGUCAGUUGGAGGUAGACAUCUGAGGCAUGUUGGAUUGAUUUGUAGCUUAAAGGCAGAUUGUGCUUGGGGAGAGAAGAAUGGAAUUCUGCCUUGCAUCUGUCUUUCAGAUUACAUAACAAAAAGACAUUUUCUUGAAAAAUGGCAUUAAGGCAGACUCGCUUCAACAGCAACACUUUCAAAUAUAUAGCAAAACACAUCUGCACCUUCGCAGGGAUGGAUCAAGACAGAAGGUUGAUGACAUGACUGAAAGCAAAGCAUACUAGCCUAAUCCAGUUAAAAAUUCAAAAUAACCCAAAGAAUAGCUAUUCAAGGUUUAAAGAAAGACACAUCAGGCAUAUUGCGCUUACUGCUUCAUGUGGUAUUUGAAUAUCACUUUUUGAAGCAUGAAAGAAAUUCGAUCCUACAUUUUGCAUUCAGCAAGCUACUCUCAUUGACUGGGCUUUUUUCAGUGUCCAUGAGCCAAGUGUAAAAGAAUGAUUUGUACAUUGCAUUUAAAAAACAGCAUUGUAAUGAAUAUAGUUUGGGAUAAGAAAAAAAAAUCUCAGAUGCGGUAAAGCAUUUCCAUGAUUAAAUGAAGGAUUUAGGAAAUGUAUCAAGUUAAUUCUCUUGAUUCAUGAUGCAAAUAUGGCUGAUAGAAAACCAAGUGCCUCUAUCUUUCUCUUACUGGAAAACAGAAGCUUUACAGCAUUAGGAAGUUCUAGAUACUUAUGUUUUUCUACUACUUCUCAAAGUUAUUCAUUGUAAUUCAUCACUACAAUGGAUUUCUGUGUCUGUUAGUUAAAUAAUGCUGUUCCUUAGCCAAUUUAUGAAGAUCUGCAAUUUCCUGUCUGCUCCUGUUGUGCUAAAUUGUACUUUGUCUCUUAUUACUGUAGCAUUUUCAAUUCUCUAUUGAUCAAUAUGCUGCACUGUCAUUUAAAGGAGAAUAUUUACUAUGGAGCUGGAAAGAUUUUAUACAACAUACACAGCAAUUUUCUCACGAGAAAUGGAGAUGAGGCGUGGAAAUUGUGGCGGACAGAUGAAUGAAUUUUUUGCCUUAAACAUUUCUUGGGGCAUGGGGUGCAGGCAGGCCACAACCCCGAACAAGCCAUCUGUCCCUGGCGGAAACAGGACUGGGCUGCUGCGACCCCCGAGAUGGUCUCCCUGCGACCACCCAGGACGCACCGAGCCUGCACUGAACGAGACCACAAUCGGGCAGAGACUUUGGGAUCUGGACUGUAAAUUAUUGUCCGUUUUUAGCACAACUUCUAUAAAACUUGCUUGGCAUGAGUGGCUAAAUUUGCUGAAGCCUUAGGCCGCACUCCCUAGCACAGUGAGAAAGGGCCCCAGAGCUGGUGCAGGCGGGAAUGAUAAGGGCAUUACCAGCAAUUUGCAUUCCUGUGCACUGCUGAAACAGUGCUAAUUGCUGGAGUUAUCACCUUCUUUGUCAGGACCUUGAGAGCUAAUGGCUGGACCCAAGAAUGGAGACACACCUGUCAGCACAAACGGCAACAGUAAACGGCCUACCUAGGGACAGUGAUGAGACCCAAUAAGGAGCAGGAGACCCCAGACCCAAAUAUUACUAUUGGUCUGAACUACCACGUGAGUGGUGGGAAAACUUAAUUUGAAAAAGCUAUAAUUGCCGAGGGAUUUCUUUGUUUGGCCCCCCCUCUUGCUCCCUCUCUCGCCCCCUCUCUCGUCCCUCGCUCCUCGUCCCUCGUCGGAGGCACCCAGCUUGAGCUGUGAUUUGAGCGGAGUCAGCAGAACAUCAUCGGCCUCGGAGUGGUGGUAGCUGGCUUCCUCUCUCCUUUUCCAACUUUCUCUAUCUUUUCCCCAUACCCUUGUUCUGUUCCCCUCUUCCCUUCGCCUCCCCUUCGCUUUUCCCCCCACCUUUUCUCUCCACUUAGUGGAAAGUAAAGUUAAAAGGUUGUACAAUAUUUGACCAGAUUUAGUGUCUUAAUCUCGUCCUUGGGAUCGUAACGAAACCCUCCCGAUAUUGGAUCGGGACAGAAAUGUAUGGAGAAUUAUUUUAGACAGCAAUUGUUAAAUCAAUUCUUCUAGUUUCUUGAUCCUCAGCAGAUUUCAGAAGGUUGAUGUGCAGGUUCUGAUAUACAUCCAAAAAUACUAUCUGAAGCUUCACAGAGUCAUCAUUUUUAAGGGCAUUUGAGUACUAUGAUUAUGCUGAUCUCCUGUUUAAGAUAAACCACAAAAAUGCAACUGUUAAUUCACACUUGAACACUUACAUUGAGUCUGCCUCUAUGACUUCCUCAAUCUUUAUCCCAUGAUUAUUGUCAAUAUUGCUUGCUCACUCUCAAGUAGCAGGGUUAAAGUAGUAUGAGGAUUUGUUUUCUCUUUAUCUUUAAAAUCCUCUUUUUUUUCCUCAAAUCUGUGUAAUGUAUAUGACACAAAAUCAUAGUAUUUGGUUAUAAUGAAACCUUUAUUUUUUGUGCUACUGUUGCACUGGUAACUAUAGAGAUAGCACUUAGCUGUUUGCCCUGUCCAUAGACUAUGGCACAGUCGAGAAGCUGUAAUGAGAGUUUACAGACUGGACCACUUGAUCAAAUGUGGUUCCAAUACACAGGUUAGCAAUAAAAACAGGACUUUUCUGCACCCACAUCCACCAAAGAAAAACAUAAUGAACUGUUGCAACAUUAAAAUUUGUUCAACAUUUUGUGCCAACACGUAAAGGGCAACUUCUAUUGUUACAACCACUGUCACAACUUUAAUUGAAGAUAAGAAUGGAAGGAGAAAGAAAGAAAGCACAGAUGAAGCACUUUCAUACAGAUUUCUCUCAUUUUAAUUGUUUUCCUUUCCUCUUUCAUAUGAGCUAUUUGAAAUAUCCUAUGGGAUGAUUUGCAAGGGCAUCACCAGCUACUUCACUUUCAUACAAAUUAUUCUGAAAAAGGAAAGCCCUUAAGCAGUGGUGGGAAGGUUUGCUCCUUCCAGCCUUCCCUUCUUACUUUUAUUCAGUGACCUUCAGAUUAAACAACAUUAAAACACAACAGUAUGAUCCAGUUAAAAUUAACUGGUUCAAACACAUUCUGGUGAUUUCAGUCACAAGCAUUUCUACCAUUUCUAGAAUCUUUCAGAUCAUGAUGUUGUUUACAGUCUUGAAGAUCCUUCAACAUAGCUCUUGCAGCAUAAACCAUCCAUUUUGUCCCUGCUAUUUUUGUAGACUGGCCUACUUAAAACUCUUUAAAAGACCCAAGAAGACCUUUGCUAUCUCAGGCAACUUUAGAUAAAUGCGUUGGUCCUAGAACCUCAUUUGAACUGUGAGAUGCAGCUCAGCAGCAAUUCCUGAAGCUGAAUGUCAAGGAGGUGCUGUGAGCCUGGGGUGAAUUUGAUGAAGAGAAGCCUGGGAGAAAAGCCACGACAGCCACUCUGCUGCUUCCUGCAUCCAGUAAAGACACCCAGGCAAUUAGACCGUGAUUUCUGGUCUUUGACUUUUUCCUUUUUCACAAAUCAAAUCAUUUCAAAGCAGGUUUUGUGGCACUGUUUAGCAUUUAGCCUAGCUAGGGGCAGAUAGUGACUGGGCAAACACUAGGAUUUAAAAGGGAGAAAGUAAUAUAGGAAUCUUUCAAGGAAUAUAAUAAUGAAUUGAGAUAGUGCUUGUAGAGAAGCAGAAAAAAACUCAAAUAAAAUAAAAACUGAUCUGAAUCUCCCUCCAUUCUUUGAACAAAACCAUUAAAGAGUCUCUUUGUUCUUCCUUGAUUGGGAGAUGAGAGUUUGACCCACAUGAAAAAUCAAAAACAUCUGUGUUUUUAUUCCUUCUUUUACAGUUCCACCCAUAGAUUUAGCUGGGUUGAAAGGAGGAAGUGUGGGAAUGCCAGCUGAAAUGCUUGUCUCUUGAAGUUUGUAGAGCCAAUCUGUAGGCCCUAGAGUUUAGGUAAUAUACUACAGUCCUGGAGACACACCAGCUAACCUAGACCAACUGGAUAAUCAUUCAGACUUUGCCAGCUUUAACCUUAUGAACAUUGUCUUUCAUCUAUUUCUCAUUCAAAGCCUGAAGUUUAUUAAAAACCUACAAACUCCUUCAUUUCGUAAAAUCCAAAGAAAGGUCCUAUGAUAUCACAUGACACUCACUCAUCUCUUUAUUUCUUCAAAGUGAGUGUUUUCCAUACAUCUCUACAUUUUUGUCCAUGAAAUAGUACUGAAGGAGUGAGGAUAAAUUCAGUAUGCCUUUGCUGACCACUGUGAAUGAUAUGCACCUGGGGUAUAUGUGCAUGUGUGUGUGUGCACACACGUGUGUAUGCACUAAACCACCUUGUCACAGACUAACAACUUCAGCUUUCACAAUUUGCAUUCCAACUUCUAAGACAGGCAGAAUGAAAGCCAAGAAUGGUACCAAAUGGUACCAAGAAUAGUGCAGACAGAUUUUAAAUUUUUUAUAUUUUAAUCCAACCACUCACAUUUUAACUGUGGAUCAAACUCUGGGUCUAAAUCCACAUGCAAAAAAAUUGUAGAAGAUGUGUUUGCUAUUUGUUCAAACAGAAACUCAUUAGAGUUGUUCUCUAACUUGUCUAGUUUAUCUCUUUCAAAUAUUUGCCUCCAUGUUGACAUGAUUUUAAAAUCUAUUUUGUUUUUCUACUAACCUGUGAAAACACCUGUAAAAGUGCAAUCUCACUAGAGCGCCAGUUCUGGCUGAACUAUUUUUUAAUGAGAAAGAACUAAAACAAACCAUUCAGAUUUUCUUUUAAUGUGUUACAAUUGUUCGCAACCAGAUCCUUCUUGUUUCUCUAAUUACUAUUCCUCAGCAUUUUCCAGCAUUAUAAUUGCAUCAAUCUUCCCUUGUUGGCUUGCACUAAAGAAAAUAAGGGAAAAUAAGAGGGAAUUUUUAUAGUCAUCUACAUACCACAGAUUUCUGGAGAUUCAAAUUUGCAGUAUUGGAUUGAUUCUGUACAUAUUACAUUAUUACUAGAUUAGACAACUGCUACGAUCUCCAAUUACUAGCAUAGGAUGGCAAUUAGUCCACUCAUAUAUAUUUAUCAAUGACUGAUAAAGCCUGGAGACAACCUGAGGCUGGCUAUGCACCUCCAAAGGUACAAACAGUAUUGCUCUACUGUUCCUUUUGCCAUUCUGAAAGAACAGGAAACAAUACUUUUACAGGCAGAAUUUCAAUCUUUUAUCAUUCUUAGGAAGGAUGCCUAAUUUCAAGAUGUUGGAUUUAUUUCAGAGUAUAUUUCCUGUGGGUGUACAAAGCUGGAACAGAUCUACUGGUUCAUCAAGGCCAGUCCCCUGCUUUGUCUGCAGUCUCAGGCAGUCACAUCAUGCAGUCUUCUAAUAACUGCUUAAGUGCCAUCCUAAAACUAGAUGUACUUAGAUAUUUUGUGUAUUAGAAAACUCUUCCAAAAUGGUUCUUGUGCUAAAAUCCUCCCAAUUUCCAAACCUAAUAACCUUAAUUAAAAUAUUUUCAACUGGGUAUAUGCCUUCAUGACCCAAUAGACUGUAGACUGUAUGUAAUACCUGACUUAAAAUCAAAAUCUUGUUUCUACUUUGAGUAAAUUCAAAAUGUAUCAAAUUUCAGUCUACCACAACUUUGGAAAUGCUCACACUACAAGUCCAGCAGUGCCUGUAUGGUCUGGGAGUGUGGAGGUCCAGCACAUACAGUUAGUUAUUCACCACCUCCAACCGCAGUCUCAAUUAACCACAACAGCAGCUACUAUGUUUAGCAUAAACUGGGAGCUACAUGAGGCACUUCUGUAAUUAGCAAAUGAUGGAGGAUGUCUCUUCCUUCCAGCUAAACUGUGAAAAGGCUGAACUGUUUAGUAGAUGAAGGAAUAGUGGGGAGGCUUUGCCUUUUUACACACUUAAUAGCAUAGCAAUCUUUGGGGUUGAAUGAAAUUAUAUACAUCCAAUACAUACCAUCUUGCUGAAGGCGUACUUGCAAUAGAUGAUCCUUCACAAAGUGUCUCUGUAUUCUUUAAAUGUGCAAUUAUAUUUGGUGUUUAUGAUAAUUGUAUGUCUCAGGCCCAGUACUGUGAGAUGAAAUACACUUAACUGCAUGAUUCAGAUUCUUAAGCUGUAUUGCUCUAAUAUUUAAACAUGGGGAAAUGAGUUACUGAUUACUUUUCAGUCAUUAUUUUUGAUUUCUUGGUUUUGUAGGUUUAAUCAGAUCCCAUUUAUGUAAAUACUCAAAAUUACCUUGAGAUUUAAAACAUGCAGCUAUGCCAUUUAGUAUUUAAUAUAGUGAACAAAUCAGUGUCUUUUCAUGUUACAGUUUUUGUGAUGCUUUAUAUUACUGCUAAUAUAAAUGAAAUAAAUUUCCCUCAGUACUUUG